GUGGGGAAUCUUGCGCAAUGGGCGAAAGCCUGACGCAGCCAUGCCGCGUGAAUGAUGAAGGUCUUAGGAUUGUAAAAUUCUUUCACCGGGGACGAUAAUGACGGUACCCGGAGAAGAAGCCCCGGCUAACUUCGUGCCAGCAGCCGCGGUAAUACGAAGGGGGCUAGCGUUGCUCGGAAUUACUGGGCGUAAAGGGCGCGUAGGCGGACAGUUUAGUCAGAGGUGAAAGCCCAGGGCUCAACCUUGGAAUUGCCUUUGAUACUGGCUGUCUUGAGUACGGGAGAGGUGAGUGGAACUCCGAGUGUAGAGGUGAAAUUCGUAGAUAUUCGGAAGAACACCAGUGGCGAAGGCGACUCACUGGCCCGUUACUGACGCUGAGGCGCGAAAGCGUGGGGAGCAAACAGGAUUAGAAACCCUAGUAGUCC
rnacentral:rRNA from 1 species